UGAGGGACAUGAAUCAUUCAAUGACUAAAACUAUCCUGAUAACGUUAAAAUGCAGAAUAUCACGUUCGUUAUCUAGACAUUCUAUACUAAACAGAACUUCGUCCGAAGUUUCUGUAGUCAAAAGUGAGAUGGAAAUUUUCUUGAUUAAAGAAAGAUGAAAAUAUCUGUUUGAACCAUGGACUAUCCUACUAUCCAUAUCUUUCAUUUACUGCUGAAAUUUCAAAUAAAAUAUUUGCGCAGUGAUAUUAUUAUACAAUUUCCAUAAGAUUUUAAUUUAUCUCUAUAACUAUCAUCUUAAUAGAUGAAAAUGAUGCACAUUUUAGCAAAGAUUUACAUAAUGUUAUUUCUUUCAUCAAAUGAUUAAACCAUGAAAUUCUAAAAAGGAACCACUACAUUCGAAUUAUAGUUUUGAAAUUCUAUUUGUGUAAUUAUCUGCAGUAAACUUUUCAAAACAAUGUUAAUUCUCCCUAAAAUCUUCAGUUCACCGUUUGGCUAGUGAAGAGUUAAAAAAUCAAGUGGAAAAAUACUGUAAUAUCUUCUCUAAUUUACAAAAAACAACACCUCGUAAAAAACUAAAAUUAAUUUUAGGGUUUGAACUAGGCUAAAAAUGUGACAGUUUCGAAUUCCUAAUCAAAUAUUUAAAAUUAUUUUGACAUGUUAAUUGCUUAUAAAAAUUAUUGAACAAGAGACUAAGGGGAUUCACUCAAAACCCAUUACCUCCAUUGAUUGGUAGAGGCUUGGUUAAGUUAUUCGUGUUUGAAAACAUAAAUGAACGUUAUACGCCACUGACAUGAACGGAAAUAAAUUCGUAGAAAUCAAUUGCGAUAAUCCUAUUGCAGCAACCUUGAAUGGUGAAACCAUCGCUUAAGUAGAUCGAAAGGAGAGACAGACUAGGAUUAUUUACUCCCCCAUAUGAAAUAGGAUUCAUAUUUCGUUGACAAAACAAAUAACUGCCACCAUUUUGUCUAUGAAACCUUAACAAUGCAACAGAAGGGUUGUCAGCAAGUAUUAAUCGUUGCUCUUUAGCACUUCUUUGUCUGAAAUUCUUCUCGAACAUGCAUAUCCUGAAUUCGACUGCUUGUAAAGUGGAAUAAAUUGAUAAUGCGUGUUA